ACCCCCGACUCGACUGAACAUGUUCUCUGUUUUCUUAUUUUUUUUAUCGUACCCCCUCUCAGACAGUGACUAAAACCUCCACACACACUGUGUGCCCCCAGAUGAAACAGCCUCUUCUUGCUGCGGAGAGCAGGGCUGCAUGAUUUGGGGGAAGCGUCUCUGGAGGCAGGAAACAUGCAGGAGCAGCAGACUAGUUCCUGGUGUCUCGUCGUCGUGAGCUACGAGCUGUGGAACCGACCCCAACUGUCAACUCUGAAGAUGGCGAAACUCAAAGAUCCCACCGUCCACUUUUUGGCUCUUGUGAAAAAAACCACAUCCGAUCCAUGUGUCUGGCUGCUCUGCCGCGCUAGCGUCCAUGUAAUACGACAAUCAUUUUCUGUGUGCAUGUCUUUUUUGCCAUACUGUGCCAACCAGCGAUUGUGCCAAAACCGAGCUCGCUCGAAAAAUUCCUUCUUCUCUUUUGUUGAAAAACUGCUCUAUUUUCCGAUGUCCUCACUUAACCGCUCAAUUCUUCAAUUUGAAACACUUUGAUUAGACAUUAUGCUUCAUAAUUUGUCCUUUUAUACUGUUUCUAUACCUUUAAAAAAAUGUUUUGCCCUUGACAAUGUUUUCAUAUGAUUCUUUUGGUUCUGUACAGCACAUUGAAUGAGCUCUGUCUAUGAUAAUAUGCUAUACAAAUGA